rnacentral:misc_RNA from 1 species
AGGGCAUGCGUUCCAAGAGUUAUCUCUCAUUGUCUGACUUCCCAGGAACCCUUAUCUUGGUUUGACACAGAGGUGACACUGAGAUACCACUUGUCCAGUACAAUAAUUUCAGGGCGCUGUUCGUUGGAAAUUUAACAAUGAUUUACCACAGGGUUAUCGUAUGGAUAGGGUAGGAUUUACUUGGUCAAUUUUGCACUUUAUUUGUAUUAAUGAUGACAUUCUUUCAAAUAGAAGGACUAUUUAAAAAAAAAAAAGGAUGUCCAUUAAACGAGUUGAAUGCCGGUAGAGGUCAGUUUCUUUAUAAAGACAUUUCUAAACGUCUCUGGCUGUUUACGCUUAUACGUUAUAGUGAGUUGAUCUUUGUUUUUUGUAUUUUUAAUGCUUUAUCAAACUUUGAAAGGUCAGAUAAUGAGUUAGAAGCAAGAUACAGAGUUUAGAAUUCUAUGUUUUGUAAACAAAGCUCGAGGCUUGUUAUUGUUUACAUAUGUUUUUUUGUUAUAAGUUUCAGUCAAAUGUUGCUUUCUUCUAUUGAUAAUAUAUUAUAAUAUAUAAACACAUUGAAUGUUUACAUAACAAUAAAUUCUUACCUGUG